rnacentral:rRNA from 1 species
GGGUAAGUCUGCCCUGCACUCUGGGAUAAGCCUGGGAAACUGGGUCUAAUACUGGAUAUGACCUUUCUCCUUAUGGGGUUUGGUGGAAAGUUUUCGGUGUAGGAUGAGCCCGCGGCCUAUCAGCUUGUUGGUGGGGUGAUGGCCUACCAAGGCGACGACGGGUAGCCGGCCUGAGAGGGUGAUCGGCCACAUUGGGACUGAGAUACGGCCCAG